UACGUAGGGUGCAAGCGUUGUCCGGAAUUAUUGGGCGUAAAGAGCUCGUAGGCGGUCUGUCGCGUCGGAUGUGAAAACCCAGGGCUCAACCCUGGGCCUGCAUUCGAUACGGGCAGACUAGAGUGCGGUAGGGGAGACUGGAAUUCCUGGUGUAGCGGUGAAAUGCGCAGAUAUCAGGAGGAACACCGGUGGCGAAGGCGGGUCUCUGGGCAGUAACUGACGCUGAGGAGCGAAAGCGUGGGGAGCGAACAGG
rnacentral:rRNA from 1 species